ACAAAUUUAAAGCCCCGAGAUGGUCUUCAAUGGCAAGGCACAAACAAAGUGAGCAGUUGAAUAUGGAGGGUGUUUUAAUUAAUUUAAUGGUGAAACAAAUAUAUAUAUAUAUAAGCCCCAAGAGCCAUUGACUUGUCCUGCAGUUUACCAGUCCUCUAACCCUCCCUUUCAAGUUUCAAAUCUUCCCACUUUCUCAUUCAAGCCGUUUUUGCUGUCCAAGUCAGGUUAUAUGGUGGUGGG
rnacentral:lncRNA from 1 species